GUGAACGCUGGCGGCAGGCCUAACACAUGCAAGUCGAACGGCAGCACAAGAGAGCUUGCUCUCUGGGUGGCGAGUGGCGGACGGGUGAGGAAUGCAUCGGAAUCUGCCCAUUUGUGGGGGAUAACCUCGGGAAACCGGGACUAAUACCGCAUACGACCUACGGGUGAAAGCAGGGGAUCUUCGGACCUUGCGCAGAUGGAUGAGCCGAUGCCGGAUUAGCUAGUUGGAGGGGUAAAGGCCCACCAAGGCGACGAUCCGUAGCUGGUCUGAGAGGAUGAUCAGCCACACUGGGACUGAGACACGGCCCAGACUCCUACGGGAGGCAGCAGUGGGGAAUAUUGGACAAUGGGAGCAAGCCUGAUCCAGCCAUGCCGCGUGUGUGAAGAAGGCCUUCGGGUUGUAAAGCACUUUUGUUGGGAAAGAAAAGCAGCCGGUUAAUACCCGGUUGUCAUGACGGUACCCAAAGAAUAAGCACCGGCUAACUUCGUG
rnacentral:rRNA from 1 species